rnacentral:rRNA from 1 species
AGUGAACGCUGGCGGCGUGCCUAAUACAUGCAAGUCGAACGGAGUGGCGCACGGGUGAGUAAUAUAUAGCUACUCUGCCCCUUGCUGGAGGACCACAGUUAGAACUGACUGCUAAUACUCCAUAGCAAGGGAUGAGACUAUAUCGUAUCAGCUAGUCGGUGGGGUAACGGCCUACCGAGGCUAUGACGCGUAACUGGUCUGAGAGGAUGUUCAGUUACAGUGGAACUGAGACACGGUCCAAGCACCGACCGUAAGCAGCAGUAGGGAAUAUUGCGCAAGGCGGGAAACCGUGACGCAGCAACGGCGCGUGGAGGAUGACACUUUUCGGAGCGUAAUCUCCUUUUGUUAGGGAAGCGGUACCUAACGAAUAAGCACCGGCUAACUACGUGCCAGCAGCCGCGGUAAUUC